CCCAAAGUCUCCAACAGUGUCUUUGCUGUCGGCGCCCAUUGGCACCACCCAGUACCUGAUGUGUAUGAUUGAAGAUUUCACCUCCAACACAGUCACUGUCACCUGGAAGAAGAAUGACAUGGAGGUGGAGGGCCAGACCCCUACUCUAGUCAAACAGCCGUCAGGCCUCUACUCAGGCAGCAGUCUGCUGAAGGUCAUCAACACUGACUGGAACAACAAGGUCAAGUACAGCUGUGUGGUGCAGCACCAGGAACAAACCAUCAACAAGACGAUCUCCAAAACAGAACCACUGACGGUGACUCUGAACCCACCGCGUGUGAGAGAGUACCGUGAUUAAUGGACAGUUCAGCAGGCAUCAGCUAUGUAGCCAAGUGAUCAUAGGGUCCAGGGGGGCAGCGGUAGAUGGAACAUGGAG